CACGUAGGGCGCAAGCGUUGUCCGGAAUUAUUGGGCGUAAAGAGCUCGUAGGUGGUUUGUUACGUCCGCUGUGAAAACCUAGGGCUUAACCCUGGGCUUGCAGUGGAUACGGGCAGACUAGAGGUAGGUAGGGGAGAAUGGAAUUCCUGGUGUAGCGGUGAAAUGCGCAGAUAUCAGGAGGAACACCGGUGGCGAAGGCGGUUCUCUGGGCCUUACCUGACACUGAGGAGCGAAAGCGUGGGGAGCGAACAGG
rnacentral:rRNA from 1 species